rnacentral:rRNA from 1 species
UACGAAGGGGGCUAGCGUUGUUCGGAAUUACUGGGCGUAAAGGGCGCGUAGGCGGUGCCUCAAGUCAGGCGUGAAAGCCCCGGGCUCAACCUGGGAACCGCGCUUGAGACUGGAGUACUAGAGUUCGGGAGAGGAUGGUGGAAUUCCCAGUGUAGAGGUGAAAUUCGUAGAUAUUGGGAAGAACACCGAUGGCGAAGGCAGCCAUCUGGACCGACACUGACGCUGAGGCGCGAAAAGCGUGGGGAGCAAACAGG